ensembl:lncRNA
CUCAACGCAAAAGCCAACUGGCGCUCGUGAUUCUUUAGCUCCGCCCACACGUCACGCCUCCAGCCGCUCGUGUUUUUCCGGGAAAAAUCGGUACAGACUAUCUUUCUCUUAUGAAUAUAAUAAAACUAAAGACUUUUUGGAGUUAUGAAGGAUGCAGUACUACUCUAUAGGUACUCAAGAUUAACAGGAAGGAUAUUGAGUGAAAACGAGCAUUUCACCCCCCCUUUAAGCUAAACUCUUUUUGCAAUGCUCUGUAGUGGAGCAGAAGCGAAAAGUGCAGUUCAUCCUUUAAUUUUCAAUUUGGCAAUGAGUCUUUUGAAUACUAGGCUACUUGUACACACUGCAUAGACAGUUUACAAGCCACACCAGCAUCAAAUGUAUUACCAAUCAGCAGGUUUCACACAGUCAGUGAAUUUCAAGCCUCCUGUACAGAUGAGACAGCUCACAGACGCGCACACACUGCAGUGUAUUGUUUAACGCUGAAACAGCGUGCUGCUGUCUGCUUGACUCAGUGGAGACAGGACAGAUAGUGUCUAUUGUUCUCUUGCACACUGCAAGGAAAGAUUUCCAUGUUUCCAUAGUCAUAUGUGUGUGAAGCACUCAACUCACAUGAUUGUGGUUGGCUUCACAUGAUUACUGUUCUCCUUCUGUCUGGAGAAUAACUGUAUGUGUGUGUGUGUGUGUGUGUGUGUGUGUGUUAACAGAGUUCUGGUCUUUCUGUACUUUGAAAGCAGCAGAUGUCAUGAUAUCAGAAAGACAGAGAGAGAGAGCCUCCAAACUCACCAAACAGGACACACUUCACACACACCGAUCUCUCAGUAUGCUGACAGAACAAUGUGAGCGUUGUGUGUAUCUGUAUGUGUGAAGCUGUGUGUGUGUUUUGCAUGUCAGUGGUUGGCCCUAUCGUUGUGUAUUUUUGGUUGCUGUGGAGAUAAUGUUGCUACAGGUGAUAUUUUAUUUGAAUUAACACACACGCUCUCUCUCUCUCUCUCUCUCUCUCUCUCUCUCUUUCUCUCUGUUACUUUCUCUAUCAUUCCUUUUAUUUCCAAAAUUCCCUGGUAAAAUAAAAUGACAGAACUGAGAUAUAUGUACUUGUAUACAUGGAGCAACAUUAAUAAAAUGAAAGAAACAGACUGAAAAUCAGCUAAAAUGUCUUGAUUUUUUGUGUUUUCAUAAGCUCACACAUUCAGUACUUCUUAUUUUCUAUAUAACACAUUUGAAUAUAUUUUAAUGUUCAUGACAGUUCAAACAAAUCAAUACUUCAAAGCAUGUAUUUUGAAUAAAAAAAAAAAACUAGUCUAAUUUUACCUGCAACAAAUCUAAACUGUUAUGUAAGCUGUCAUUAAACUGCAAUACAGGCACAGAAGACACGUUUGAAGUAGGAUAUAUACCAAAAGCAGUGCAUUUACACACUUUAUAAUGUGGCACAGGGGAAGAAGGAAUGUGUUUGCACAGGAGUCACGACAGUGGGAAGAAAUGUUAAAGAGAAAUGCUAAUAUUCUUAUUCAAGCACUAAAUCUGACACUGUACAAACUACUAAUAAUUUAAACUAAUUCACCAAGAAUCAAGCCACUUUUCUCAAGCUAUUAGGAAGGACUGGAUUCUAAUAUUGUAUAUAAAAUAUAAAUACAUAUCAUAUGUAUUGAUAAUUUCAUUUCCCUUAUUUUGUAAAUCAUGUUUGAGCUAUACUUAAUAGAUUGCUACACUAAUGACAACAGACAGUUGACCUUUUUGCUCUGAAAUAUCGCACCAAAUACCCAAAGUAACCACAACAACAACUUGAGUGCUAGCAAAAUAUUGAGCCAUUGCAAAAAGCUUGAUUGACAGGUGAUCUGACCAACCGUAAUCCGCCAUUUUAUCCCACAUAUCAGACAUGAGAGUAGAUUGAAAAAUGAUGUGUAUUAAUGUCUUUCCGCUGUUUGAAAUGAAAUACAUUCUGAUGUUCAUUCAUGUUCAUUUUCUGCUUUAGGUAAAUAUGAAAAGAUGAUUGGUUCAUGUGCCGCUUGAACUGAGGCGCUACAGCGAUCUGUCAUGACACAUUGAAAAGCCACAAAAUGCUAUUUAUUGUUUGAAUUAUUAAAAGAAAAAAUAUUUUAAACCUGAAACCACGUUUCAUACCAGAAGUAACCAAGACAGUCUGGGAAAAUAACAGCUCUCUGAAUAACCGGAGAGCUCAUCAUUUUGACAUUUUUUCUGUUAUCUUUCACGCAUGUAGAAUCAAAAAUAUUUUUCUUCAUACAAUUUUGAGGUGAUAUUCAUGUUUUUAUCACAGUUUAAUCAAUGAAUUAUCCUGAUGGAAACUCAUGGCAUUUGUUAUUAGUUUAUACAUACGUUUUUAUUUCACCACAUUAUUAGUUUAUCCAUACCCGUCUAGGAUGGUUUUGAUUUAAAAAAAAACAUUUUUUGGGGGGACUUUAUAAUACUGAAGCUAGAUAAACAUUUGAGGUUAUUUGUUGAAAUAUUUCAGGUCUUGUCUUCUUUUAUCUCCAUUUAUCUCUCUCUCUCUCUCUCUCUCUCUCUGUGCCUCUUGUUUCUGGGUUGACUGGGUUCAUGUAUGACUGCCUUUGGGCCUUAGUAACGGUCGCCAAGCCUCUGAUCCCAUAGCAACCGGUCACUUGGUUUUGUUCGGCAGAAGGAGAGGAGAGGACACACACACACUUAACACACACAUCAAACCAAAUGUAACACUCCUACAGUUCUGACGAAUGCACUGACUGUGGCCUACACAGUUCUCUAUCUGUUCCCUACAGUUUAAAGAAUACUGACUAAACCACAGCUCUGUUUCUAAGACCAGAUUUAAGUUCCAGUGGGAAUCUGGGAGCGAUAUCCGUGAAAGAAAGCUUAUAUUCUCAUCACUUCCACACAUAACAACCAUGAAUGAAACGGGCGCCAACAUCAACAUUAACACCUGAUUGGAUAUGGCGGUAACCAUGGAUACCGGUCUUGCCUAGCAACAAGCCUGAAUGCAUACGUUGUAAACCCCGCCCACCUGACAGAACGCACAUAUGUGCUUUCUCGCACUCACAUACCUGCACAUGCUCACACACAGUCUCACAUUUGUCACUAUCCACCCACCUCUUGUUUUUUCUUCCUGUUUACACCCCCAUGCUCCCCCCAGCCCGAAUCAGUAGGGUCCCUGGAGGGAAAAUUGCAACCUGUCAUUGGCUGACUGCAUCUCCAUGGUGACGCAGCUGCAGCUGUGCUCCAGCAAGCAGCAGAGAAACACAGUGUGUGUAAAUCUCAUCCCAGCCCAUAAUGGUGUCAGAUAAAUUGAGAUGAGAGUUCACUCCAGUCACCUGUGCAGGUGUGUUUAGUUAUGCUAAAAAUAGACCACAGCAUAUAUUAGGCCCGCUCUACAUCAUGUCAGCUCAAUUCUAGUUUCAGGCUCAAGCUAAAAGCUCCUGAGGGCUGCAUCCUAAAGAAAAUAUGUUUCUGUUUGUUUGGCGGUUGCCCUUUCAUUACUCAGUAGACUUAAAGAGUUAAAGGAAAAUUACAGGUUAACCCCCUGGUGCUACUCAUGAGUCAGUCAAAAAUUACUUCUUUCUUUCCAAUUGAAAUAAAUGUACUGUAUUUUAGUUAGAUUAAUUAGUUUUUUUUAAGGUAUUUUACUAAAUUACAUUUAUAGCAUAGUUAUGACACAUAUAUUACCUGUUUAGCAUAGACUUGAAAAUGAAAUUUCUAAGUGAAACUGUCAUAAAUAUUGAAUGCUUUAGAGCACAGACUUAGGAU